AUCAACGCUGGCGGCGCGCUUAACACAUGCAAGUCGCACGAGAAAGGGGGGCAACCCUGAGUACAGUGGCGUACGGGUGAGUAACACGUGGAUGAUCUACCUCUUAGUGGGGAAUAACCCUGGGAAACCGGGGCUAAUACAGCAUAAGCUCUAGCGAGGAAAGCAGCAAUGCGCUGAGAGAGGAGUCCGCGGCCGAUUAGCUAGUUGGGAGGGUAAAAGCCUACCAAGGCAGAGAUCGGUAGCCGGCCUGAGAGGGCACACGGCCACACUGGCACUGAAACACGGGCCAGGCUCCUACGGGAGGCAGCAGUGGGGAAUCUUGCACAAUGGGGGAAACCCUGAUGCAGCGACGCCGCGUGAGCGAUGAAGCCCUUCGGGGUGUAAAGCUCUUUCGGCAGGGAAGAUGAUGACGGUACCUGCAGAAGCAGCUGGCGGCUAACUACGUGCCAGCAGCCGCGGUAAUACGUAGGCAGCGAGCGUUGUUCGGAGUUACCGGGCCGUAAAGGGUGUGUAGGCGGUUGUUUAAGUUUGGUGUGAAAUCUCCCGGCUCAACUGGGAGGGUGCGCCGAAUACUGAAUGACUUGGAGUGCGGGAGAGGAGAGUGGAAUUCCUGUGUGUAGCGGUGAAAUGCGUAGAUAUCAGGAGGAACACCGGUGGUGUAGACGGCUCUCUGGACCGUAACUGACGCUGAGACACGAAAGCGUGGGUAGCAAACAGGUUUAGAUACCCUGGUAGUCCACGCCCUAAACGAUGCAUAUUUGGUGUGGGCAGUUCAUUCUGUCCGUGCCGGAGCUAACGCGUUAAAUAUGCCGCCUGGGGAGUACAGUCGCAAGGCUGAAACUCAAAGGAAUUGACGGGGGCCCGCACAAGCGGUGGAGCAUGUGGUUCAAUUCGACGCAACGCGAAGAACCUUACCUGGGCUCGAACGGCUGGUCAACGGCGGUGGAAACACUGUUACCCCGCAAGGGGGUCCAGUCGAGGUGCUGCAUGGCUGUCGUCAGCUCGUGUCGUGAGAUGUUGGGUUAAGUCCCGCAACGAGCGCAACCCUUGUCCGUCAGUGCCAUGCGGUCAAGGCCGGGCACUGCAGGAGAACCGCCGCGGAUAAGCUGGGAGGAAGGUGGGGAUGACGUCAAGUCCUCAUGGCCUUUAUGUCCAGGGCUACACACGUGCUACAAUGGACGGUACAAACCGUCGCUAACCCGCGAGGGGGAGCCUAAUCGGAAAAAGCCGUCCUCAGUUCGGAUUGCAGGCUGCAACUCGCCUGCCAUGAAGCUGGAAUCGCUAGUAAUCGCAGAUCAGAACGCUGCCGUGAAUACGUUCCCGGGCCUUGUACACACCGCCCGUCACAUCACGAAAGUGGACUAUACUAGAAGUCCGUGGGCUGAACCGGCAAGGGGGCAGCCGGCCCAAGGUAUGAUCCAUGAUUGGGGUG
rnacentral:rRNA from 1 species